rnacentral:rRNA from 1 species
AGGAAUAUAUAGGUAACCUGCCCUUUAGUCUGGGACAACUUGCCGAAAGGUGAGCUAAUACUGGAUACGUUCCUGAUUCCGCAUGGUUUUGGGAAGAAAGAUUUAUCGCUAAAGGAAGGGCCUAUAUCUGAUUAGCUUGUUGGUGGGGUAAUGGCCUACCAAGGCAACGAUCAGUAGCUGGUCUGAGAGGACGAACAGCCACACUGGGACUGAGACACGGCCCAGACUCC